CCAGUUGCAGCCCAGGCCCUUUGUUUUUAGUGCAUCUGGUGGAUCAGAUGAAUUUCCUCUCCUCCAGGGCAGCAGUGAGUGACCUCCGUGCAGGAGUAUUGUUUGAGGUUGAACGGGGUGAACGUCUUAUAUCUGAUAAGAUGGAUUCGAGUGCGAGGCGAGUGCAAUCACAUUCAGAAGGACUUGGACAAAGAGGAAAUGGAGUUUCAAAUGGCGAGUGCUGGUAGUUACCUGACAGGUAUACAGACGAGGAGGCACACAAAGACUUCACUCUCUCUACACCUCUGAUGAAUAUAACAGGAAACCUGUUCAAUUACCACGCACCUCAAAAUCAUUUUGGCUAUGGAUACGGAGAACAUCAACAAAUGAUCAUCAACACGCCAGAGGACAUACUCAUUGGACUUGGGGGUCUGCUGGGUGUUUACCUCAUAUUUGGAUGUUGUAAUUCUGC